AUGCCAACUGCUUUGUCUUUUUCUUCACUUCAAGACCAAAGGUUGGACUCUCCCACCUCCAAGGGCCAACAACUUCUCAGCUCAUCUUCCCACACUGAGAUGCCACCUGGUUUCCCCACAAAAGGUAAAUACAUUGGAGUGCAGAAUGCUGCUCUUGAAUGUGAAGCUGAUAGCUUUUCCUCCUCGGCUACUCUAGGACCAUGGCCCUAUGCCUCAGGGGAAGCAGGUCCCUUUUCAACUCCACAAGUUUCAAGUCACUCCACUAUGGAGUUGGUGCCAGUGCAAGCCUCCUCUACCAGUUCUGUCCAUGUUCAGGACAAAAGGAAGAGCAAACCUCCUCUUGUGGAAUCAGAGGUUAACCCAAAGGAUACCACUGAAGAUAUCCUCUCCAAGAAGAAAAUGAAGAAAGGAGGGAAGGGAGCAGUUAAGGACAAUGAAACCCCUGCUGCUUAG
rnacentral:rRNA from 1 species